UUUAUACAUCCGGUGAAAUAUCUGUCUCAUUGUUCCAUCUGUGCUCAUAUCCCCCAUGGACUGGUUUGUACAUAAAAUAUUCUCCAUUCAUGCUGCAAAGUGGAGUUCUGCUACCCGACAUUAAACUUCACGUUAGGGGAGACAUGCAGUACCAGCAAAUCUUCUGCAAGAGGUCCAAAAAAGUUGGUGGUUAAGAAGACCUACACCGCAUUCGGUAGAGUGUUAUCCAGCUGGCCGUUCACCGCAGACAGGACAAGACCAUUCGCCAUAAGCACAAAGAGUCUCAGCUUCCCCAGCCCACCAUGCCAAACAUCAUUGCCAGUGUACCGAAGCCGGAUAAAGGACUAUCGCUGCGUUUACACAAGCAGCCAAAUUCUGAUAUUUUUUUGUGACUAAUUGGUAUUUUGACCAAUUAGAUCGGUUCUGAAAAAUAUCUGAUGUGAUUAAGACCAAUUAGUGGGAAAAAGAUCAGAAUUAGGCUGCCUGUGUAAACAAAGCCAGUAUUGCUCAGCAUAAGACCGUGUAGAACCACCAUCAAAUAAAUAUGGUAUUUUCUAUCAA